rnacentral:tRNA from 1 species
AUUUUAUUAAGCUUGCAGCAAAUUCAUUGUUAAUGAAUAGAAGUUUUUUUUAUUU